rnacentral:rRNA from 1 species
CCUACGGGUGGCAGCAGUGAGGAAUAUUGGGCAAUGGAGGCAACUCUGACCCAGCCAUGCCGCGUGAGUGAAGAAGGUUUUCGGAUUGUAAAGCUCUUUCGGAUGUGACGAUGAUGACGGUAGCUGCUAAAGAAGCCCCGGCUAACUACGUGCCAGCAGCCGCGGUAAUACGAAGGGGGCAAGCGUUGUCCGGAUUUACUGGGUGUAAAGGGAGUGUAGGCGGUGUAGUAAGAUAGAUGUGAAAGCCCGGGGCUUAACUUUGGAAUUGCCGUUGAAACUGUUAGACUAGAAUAACAGAGAGGUAAGUGGAAUACCCAGUGUAGAGGUGAAAUUCGUAGAUAUUAGGUAGAACACCAGUGGCGAAGGCGACUUACUGGCUGUACAUUGACGCUGAGGCUCGAAAGCGUGGGGAUCAAACAGGAUUAGAUACCCGUGUAGUC